rnacentral:rRNA from 1 species
GUAGGGUGCGAGCGUUAUCCGGAAUCAUUGGGCGUAAAGAGCUCGUAGGCGGUUCAGCAAGUCGGCUGUGAAAUUCCGAGGCUCAACCUCGGAACUGCAGUCGAUACUGCUGUGACUCGAGUCCGGUAGAGGAGAAUGGAAUUCCCGGUGUAGCGGUGAAAUGCGCAGAUAUCGGGAGGAACACCAGUAGCGAAGGCGGUUCUCUGGGCCGGCACUGACGCUGAGGAGCGAAAGCGUGGGGGUAGCCAACAGGAUUAGAUACCCUGGUAGUCCACGCCCGUAAACGUUGGAUACUAGGGUGUGGGGUUCCGACCAACGGUCCCCGUGCCGAAGCUAACGCAUUAAGUAUCCCCGCCUGGGGAGUACGGCCGCAAGGCUA